AAUGAUGCAAUGUUGAGGGGCAGCACACUCUUGCAGGCCCCUGUCCAACACCUCACAGGGAGUUGUCAUAUACCUGGGAUUGAGGCUUUUCUUUAAUCUAAUCUAUAAGUUUCUGGGAACACUGUCUGUUCAAGAGUAAAGUGAUUUGUUUACGGAAGAAAAAAACCCGAGUCAGAUCUGUUCAUCAGAAAAGACAAAAACGAAGAAUUAGCUUACCUGAUAGACUAAGGGUGAUGAAUACAUCAGUCACUGAAAGGAGGUGGAGCGGCUGCCCUUCCUCUUGCAGCCUUCUGCUUCUAACCCAUCCUCCCGCUCCUGAAGCACAUCCUCCCUGCUUUUUCUAUACCUUCAGAUAGAUGGUUCAAGGGAAAAGGCAACUGGAGUUCGUUCGAGCAAUAACUUUAACUUUAUGUACAACUCAAACUCAUAGAAGUCUGGAUGAAGAUUUCGCAAGGCUUUCCCCGUCGAAUGAAGAGCACAAGUUUACCUUUAACAACCAUCCGAAACUCUUGGGGAGAAGUUAACAGCCAAACAGAAACACCUCAUGCGUGUCUCCUUCUCCCCAUGCUAUGAGGCGCCAUGCUAUGAGGAGCUCUCCGGAGAACUCUGCACCCUGCCAGAAAGCACUCCAUUAUGCUGUGAUUUUAGGGGGAGUUCUGGACAAAUGGACCUGCGUGACCUUGACCUAACUAAAAGAGAACAAAGAAAUAGACUGUACUGGAGCCCUGGCUG
rnacentral:lncRNA from 1 species